UCAUACAAUGUGCAGGUUAUUUACAGUAGGAGAUGGGCUUCUAUCAUCUAUUAUCAUUCUAUAAUGGGCUUCGAUCUGCAAGCUAGUCAGCUAGCAAAUGUGAAACGGAUUGCAGUGACAAGGGUUGAUAGCUGUAUGAGUUCACCAUUUACACAACAAGGGAACCAUGAAGAGGAGCUUGGAGUGGGCAAGGCUUAUAAAGCAGCAGAGAAGACCUGAUUCAUCAAGUAUCAAUUCAUUUUGGUGAUUCUCACCUGGUUGGCAUGCAUGCACAACACAAGACACUUCAAUCUGACACUCUUAAUGWUUGACAUCAGGCAAAAUGUCUUCAGCCACCAUAGGAUGGAGAGCCGCUGGUUGGCAUUUGACUGUCUGUGGGUG